CGCGGCCUAUCAGCUUGUUGGUGGGGUAAUGGCCUACCAAGGCUUUGACGGGUAGCCGGCCUGAGAGGGUGACCGGCCACACUGGGACUGAGACACGGCCCAGACUCCUACGGGAGGCAGCAGUGGGGAAUAUUGCACAAUGGGCGCAAGCCUGAUGCAGCGACGCCGCGUGAGGGACGAAGGCCUUCGGGUCGUAAACCUCUUUCAGCAGGGACGAAGCGCAAGUGACGGUACCUGCAGAAGAAGCACCGGCUAACUACGUGCCAGCAGCCGCGGUAAUACGUAGGGUGCGAGCGUUGUCCGGAAUUAUUGGGCGUAAAGAGCUCGUAGGCGGUUUGUCGCGUCUGCCGUGAAAGUCCGGGGCUCAACUCCGGAUCUGCGGUGGGUACGGGCAGACUAGAGUGAUGUAGGGGAGACUGGAAUUCCUGGUGUAGCGGUGAAAUGCGCAGAUAUCAGGAGGAACACCGGUGGCGAAGGCGGGUCUCUGGGCCGAUACUGACGCUGAGGAGCGAAAGCGUGGGGAGCGAACAGGAUUAGAUACCCUGGUAGUCCACGCCGUAAACGUUGGGCACUAGGUGUGGGGGACAUUCCACGUUUUCCGCGCCGUAGCUAACGCAUUAAGUGCCCCGCCUGGGGAGUACGG
rnacentral:rRNA from 1 species